rnacentral:rRNA from 1 species
AUUGAACGCUGGCGGCAUGCCUUACACAUGCAAGUCGAACGGUAACAGGUCUUCGGAUGCUGACGAGUGGCGAACGGGUGAGUAAUACAUCGGAACGUGCCCGAGAGUGGGGGAUAACGAGGCGAAAGCUUUGCUAAUACCGCAUCCGAGCUCAGGGUGAAAGCAGGGGACCGCAAGGCCUUGCGCUCACGGAGCGGCCGAUGGCAGAUAAGGUAGUUGGUGGGAUAAAAGCUUACCAAGCCGACGAUCUGUAGCUGGUCUGAGAGGACGACCAGCCACACUGGGACUGAGAAACGGCCCAGACUGCUACGGGAGGCGGCAGUGGGGAAUUUUGGACAAUGGGCGCAAGGCUGAUCCAGCCAUGCCGCGUGCAGGAUGAAGGCCUUCGGGUUGUAAACUGCUUUUGUACGGAACGAAAAGACUCUGGUUAAUACCUGGGGUCCAUGACGGUACCGUAAGAAUAAGCACCGGCUAACUACGUGCCAGCCGCCGCGGUAACAC